CCUACGGGAGGCAGCAGUGGGGAAUAUUGCACAAUGGGGGAAACCCUGAUGCAGCGACGCCGCGUGAAGGAAGAAGUAUUUCGGUAUGUAAACUUCUAUCAGCAGGGAAGAAAAUGACGGUACCUGACUAAGAAGCCCCGGCUAACUACGUGCCAGCAGCCGCGGUAAUACGUAGGGGGCAAGCGUUAUCCGGAUGUAUUGGGUGUAAAGGGAGCGUAGGCGGGUUAGCAAGGCAGAAGUGAAAGCCCGGGGCUCAACUCCGGGACGGCUUUUGAAACUGUUGAACGAGAGUGCAGGAGAGGUAGGUGGAAUGCCUAGUGUAGCGGUGAAAUGCGUAGAUAUUAGGAGGAACACCAGUGGCGAAGGCGGCGUACUGGACUGUAAAUGACGCUGAGGCUCGAAAGCGUGGGGAGCAAACAGGAUUAGAUACCCGAGUAGUC
rnacentral:rRNA from 1 species